rnacentral:sRNA from 1 species
UCGCUACGCUCUCUUCCACCGAUUGGUGGAAUG